GGAGGUAAUCCGGCUGGAUGAGGAGCUUGAUUCGAAAUCAGGUACUACCUACACAAGGUAUUGGGGGUUCGAGUCCCUUUGCCUCCG
rnacentral:tRNA from 1 species